rnacentral:lncRNA from 1 species
GAAUAAGGGUGACAAACUAUUUGCUUUCACUAAGAUGUGACAUUGAAUGGAUUACAUACAACUGGGGCACAAAAAUGAGACAAACUCUGACCUCCCAUUUCCUUAGCCAUUUCCAAAAUAAAGUCACUUGAUUGGUCCUGAAAAGAUGAGUCAACCAGAAGUGGUGACCCAUUACCCAAAGCAUCGAUGCCAAAGUGAGGAAGAAAUCUUCUAUAAUUUGGUGAUAUUCUGAGAGAUUCAUCAUGAAAUUUCUGCAUGAACUCAACAUGCAAUUUUCUUCACGUUGAAUAUAUGAUUCUUUGCUAAGUUUUGGAAAGUGCGAUUUCUCUUGGUUCAAAUAAAUGGAGAGACAU